CGGGGCGUAGCGCAGUCCGGUAGCGCGCCUGCUUCGGGAGCAGGAGGUCGCUGGUUCGAAUCCAGUCGCCCCGA
rnacentral:tRNA from 1 species